GUAAAUAAUACGUACAUAAAUGCCGAAAAUUGAUGAAAAGGAGUCAUUUAUAUAGACAUCAAAAUGCUAAUCCUCAAUGACGAAGAUGAAGGCUAUUCAGUCAAAACUCACCACGAUUAAAUACCUUCCUCCCUUCUACUCCAUCUAACACUUCAUCUUGUUCUCGACAUGUAACCUCGCUAUUUAAUAGGAGACAGCUGAUUAUAUUGUAAGGCAAUCAAUGAGGCCUCUCUUUCUCCUCCAAUUCUCUCAUUUGAGUUCUGAUGUUUCCUUUUUCCAAUUUUUUCGCCCCGGCAAUGCAAUUCUAAGAAGUUUGAGGAUCCAACUGAAGAAGGAGGAACCCUAGUUGCGAAAUUUAAGAACCUUUAGAUUUGACUGCUGGUUUUCGCAAACUCGAGGAUGAAACCCGGUGAUCAAAGUAUUGGGAUUUGCUUAGGUGAGUGAAUUGGGUUCUCAUGUUGUAUUUCUGAGCUAUUGUUUGGCCCAUGUUCAAUGUGGUUAGUGUAGCUAUUUUUUAUUUUGUAUGUUUGCUGGAGCACUAUAUUUUUGUUUAUCAAAUGUAGUAAGUGGCAAACAUUUUACAUAUUAAUUAUCCAUUUUGGAGUGAAUCAAAAUUUAUUAGAAAGCUGGUAAUAAGGUCAUGAUAAAUAUGUUAUGGAUGAAGUCUAAAUGUCAAAAAUUAUCUCUCGUGAAAUAUUGAACACAAAUUAAACCAUAUAAUUAUUAAGUCCAUUUCUUAUGACCAUUUUUAACUUGUUAUUAUGA
rnacentral:lncRNA from 1 species